rnacentral:rRNA from 1 species
UGGGGAAUAUUGGACAAUGGGCGAAAGCCUGAUCCAGCCAUGCCGCGUGUGUGAAGAAGGUCUUCGGAUUGUAAAGCACUUUAAGUUGGGAGGAAGGGCAGUUACCUAAUACGUGAUUGUUUGACGUACCGACAGA